AGUUAAAUAAGCAAGGGAUAAGCCUAAUGUCUUGAAAACAUUAAGAAAGAAGUUCAACUCUUCUAUUAACUU
rnacentral:tRNA from 1 species